UAGAAAGUGGUGUAGUGGAAGCACUGAGAGUUUUGAUCUCUCUGGGUUGGGUUCGAGCCCCUUCUUUCUAAGUCUGA
rnacentral:tRNA from 1 species